GGGGACAAAGCCAUCCACAUCAUUCCGGAAAAGGAGAAGUAUAAUACUGUGAAGUACAUGAAGAACAAGAACCAGAAAAAUUUGCUUGCUGUCCACUCAUACCCAGACAUAGGGUAGAAGAUCAGCACAUAUAUAACAGACUCAAAGAAUCUGAAGGGCAACUGAAUAAUGAUCUGUGCCAAUGCAUAUGGUAAGGCCGAAUACAUCCUCGAUGC
rnacentral:misc_RNA from 1 species